UUAUUACUCCUUAGGCUCCCGGGAUGCCCGUGGGAUACCUCCAGUGAACGGCAGAGGGCAACGCGUCCGAUCCGGGCUACAGAUGGAGAGCUCGGUUUGUCGCUGUUAUCGACCCUGAUCGCCAGGUGCAUCAGCUGAAAGGAGACAGCAGCCUCGACUGGAAACAAUACACAAAGGGGCAAGAAAAGGCACGUGAUGCUGAUCACUACUUUUCACAUUCUGACGGAAAUACAGAUAUGAAUUCAUGAGGAACAAAGAAUGCCUUGCUUCAAGGUGUCGUAUAGUUAUCGUUUGCCGCAUGAUAACGUCACAUUAGGGAGUAUAAUUCCCGGGAUAUAAUACGCCGAAUGGUGAAGUUAUAGUCUUUGUGUUCAUAUGAUUUUAUUAUUAUUAUUUAUAUAUCGUGAUCGUUGUUAUUAUGACAUCGCAUCGCUGCUUCCGUGUAAAAUCCGGCCUCUGUAAAACACCACUUUCCUCUCUGCUCUUCUUCCAUGUGUGUGUGUGUGUGUGUGUGUGUGUGUGUAUGUGUGUAUGUGUGUGUUGUUAUUGGACCGAAGACUGUACUCCUCUCCAAUAGCAUCCUAGCGGCAGUGAAUGGAGGAAUGAAAAAAAAAAAAAAAAAAGAGAAGUGCAUCCAUGCAUGCAGGAGUGGGAGGAUCCACUCGCUUCGAUCUGGAUCGGAGACUCUCUGCAGCGGCCGGGACACAAGCAGCCGAGCGCCACAGAGUUACUGCCGGGACAUCUACACACACAUACGCCCUGCUAUUUUUGGAUUUGUUGUCAAGUUGUGUCGCUGACCUCCGCCGCC